UACGGGGGGGGCAAGCGUUGUUCGGAAUUACUGGGCGUAAAGGGCUCGUAGGUGGCCAACUAAGUCAGACGUGAAAUCCCUCGGCUUAACCGGGGAACUGCGUCUGAUACUGGAUGGCUUGAGUUCGGGAGAGGGAAGCGGAAUUCCGGGUGUAGCGGUGAAAUGCGUAGAUAUCCGGAGGAACACCGGUGGCGAAGGCGGCUUCCUGGACCGAUUACUGACGCUGAGGCGCGAAAGCUAGGGGAGCAAACGGG
rnacentral:rRNA from 1 species